GCGGAAAGUUUUUCCACCAAAUCUGCUAGGAGCUCAGGGUUCUUGAAGUGACUUUGCAUGUUGCUGAGCGUCAGGUGAUCACACAAGUUUACCAUUUCUAGUCCGAACGUGAUUAUACUAUUCAAAUGUUCUGAUUUCGGUGAAUCUAACCUCCGCACACUAUCCGUAAGAUGCCUUAUUAGCUGAGUCUUAUUUCCAAAAAGCUUCUCCAAUCGCUUGAUGAUAAGAGGCGCGGCGUUGGGCAGUUUAAGUUUCGACUGAACGGCAUCUCGAGCGGGGCAUUUUAAACACUCUACUACCCUUAUAGUGUUUUCAACGUCCGUGUAUCCUCAUGCCCUUGUCGACUCGUUGUAGCAGUUGUAGAACACUGCCCAUUCCUUCGAGCAUCCCGAAAAUAUAGGCAAAUUUUCGGGUACAUAUCUCGCGCGAUGCUCUGCGCUGUCACUCGCACAGGAGUCUCAUGCCGGAUUGAUGAGCUUGUGGGUUACUUGCUUUGCAAUUAGGUUUCAUGGGUUUUGGUGCGUUGCUCUGCGUUGACACUGGAGCGGGCGUCACUAUCGGGGUUGACGAGCUUGCCUGCGGCAUAUGCUGUGAUGAGGGUACAAACUUGUAUUGAACUAAUGGGAAAGUUGGUAUUCCUUGCUGCUUGCCUGUGUUGCUUCACCCAUCACUGUGAAGAAGGCCCUGGAUGCACUGUAAUUACCCAAGUAGAAAUUGUCAGGCGAAAUGUGGGCAAAACAGGGGGAGAAAGGUAAAAAUCUGCUCGAUCCGUGUGGAAGAGCAUCAAAUGUAUGGUGGUGUGUGUAAACGUCAAGAGCUGCGGGUGCAUUUUCAAAUCAAAACAAACUGGUGUUGGAAACGGAUGAAAGUGAUUUCUUUUGCUUCGAACUUAAAGUUGUUUUUUUUAUUUGUUUUGCAUAAAACCAAGUGAAAAUGGAUCCUUCCAAACGCUUGAAGAAAAGUGGAGUGGCGAGCAAGCGUGCCAAAGCAAUUUGGGAGCGCUUUGAAAAGGAAUGGGAAGAGGAAAAUCUUCCAGGAACAAGCAGCGGUGUCGAUCAACAAGCUUCAUCAUACGGGAAUGUGCAGUAGGAUGCCGUGGAAGUUGCCGAUAUACCCAUGGAAUCAGAAGCCGCGGAUUACGUUUCUGAUGACGAUGAAGACGCUGAUUGCUCUGUGUUGGAAGACGAUUGGAGUGAAGGCGAAUUGGAGGACGAAGUCAAUGAGGAUGAGUAUUUUGAUGCUGAUGAAGCCCCCGAAGGCAAUGCUUAUGCUAGCAGGUGUGCAAAGACGCUACUGAAGACUCCGAAACAGGUGGAGAGACAUUUUACGGCCGUUGGAGAAGGGCAGCUUUGGUACCAAGGAAUACAAAGCACUCUCCAACAAUAUUAUCGAUCUGUACCACCAGUCAUCAGAUUGAUAGAAGCAAAUAUUGCGGUAGAUGGACUUCCGAUGCAUAAUAGUGGACCAACGCAGCUAUGGCCUAUAUUAAUGCAUAUAGUUAAUCUACCAGCACUGCCAAUCAUGGUGCUGGGUGUAUUUUGUGGUGCGACAAAACCGAGCUGUUUGUAAGGGUUUCUCCGGCCUUUAGUGGAUGAUAUCAAACGCGUUCUGGUGCAAGGCAUUGAUAUCAAUGGAAUUACCAUCGACUUUCGCCUGAAAGCUAUUGUAGCAGAUACACCAGCUCGUGCGUUCAUCAAAGGAGUAACGUAUCCUCCUGGGCUGGAAGCAUGUAUAAAGUGCAAAAUAGUUGGCAGCUAUGAUGGAACCAAAACAAUUUAUGAAGGAACAGCUGAAGUUCGCACCGACAAAGAAUUUAGAAACGGAGACUACGUGAAGCACCAAAAAUAUUAUACGCCAUUAUUAGACAUAGAUGAAAUAGACAUCGUAACACAAACAACGAUAGCCGAUGACCUUCACUUGUUCGCACUAGGAAUAGAAAAAAAAAUACUUAAAGGUUUUACAACUGGUGCUUUACAUCCUUUUCCGAAGUGGUCAAAACAGGAAUUUCGUUAAAACAGUUAGAAAUUUUGAAUAUAUAAGUCAGGAUCGAAUACCCGUCAGAGAUACAUCGUAAGCCUAGGUCAUUAAAAUAUUUAGGGUUUUGGAAGGGGUCCGAAUUGUCAGCAUUUUUACAUCACGUUAGCAUACCUUUGUUAAAAAAUCAGAAUAUCAGAUGUAGCCUAUGAGCACCAUAAGCUUUUUUUCAUUGCGGUAAAUUUAUUCUCUUCAAGAUUAUUUGAACAAUAUUGGAUAUUUGCUGGUCAGUUGCUCGAACAAUUUGUAUUAGAAUAUAGCAAAGUUUAUAGUCGAACACAUUUAACAAUUAACGUUCAUAAUUUACUACAUGUAGCAGCAGAUGUUGAAAAUUUCGGGCCUCUUCCAUUUUUAUCAACUUAUCGUAUUGAGGACAAGUUAGGGUUUAUGAAAAACUUAGCUAGAACAGGACAUAGAACUUUAAACCAGAUAGUGUGUAGGUUAAUAGAACUAACACAAUUAGAGGCAGCAGAUGCAAGGCCAAAGGAUGAUAGAGUGUAUCCAUCACUAAAGGUUAAAAAAAGAUGAGGUAAUUUUGUUAUUCAAACCAAAAUUUAUGUUAAGAAAGGGCAAUAGAAAUGGAUGGUUUUUAACACAGGAGGAUCAGAUAGUAAGGUAUUGUACUGCAGAAAAGUCAUCAGGUUCAUAUUUUAUAGAAGGACGACUCUUAAAGGAGAAACAACCCACUUUUAGCCAACCAUGUAGCUCGGCGAUAAUUUAUAACUUUACAGCUAGGGUAGAAGAUUUAUCACAGGAAAUAGUCAGGAUAGAAUUAAAAGAAAUUAAAUGCAAGCUAGUGGCAGUUAGUUUAGAUCAGGGUAAUACAUUUUAUUUCAGUCCUCUUUUACAUACAUUUGAAAGUUAGAUCAUAAUUGUUAUAUGUAAGUUGUUAGGCUUAGAAUAGGUAGUAAAGGUUUAAGUUUAGGUAAAUAUUUUUAUUAGUUUAGUUUUGUAUUAAAAUGAUUAGAAUCAAGUAGCCGAGUAUGCCGGGAAAAGGCAAAAUGCAAGGAGGAAAUGCCUUAAGAACUAGAACAGAUUGUUGGUAUUUCAUACAUAAUAUUUACUUAUUAAAUUCAUAUACGUUUACUCCAACAUAGUUCAUAUCACAACUUGAAUCACAACUCAUAUCCUAAUUGUAUA